rfam:Schistosoma haematobium scaffold1219_2, whole genome shotgun sequence.
ACCUAGAUGACGAGUCUCGAAUAGGACGAAACCCUCGUCCUGGAU